GAGUUGAUCAUGGCGUCAGGACGACGCUGGCGGCAUGCCUAACACAUGCAAGUCGAACGGAAUAGGACUGGUUGUAGCGAUACUUCGGUCUUGUUUAGUGGCGAACGGGUGAGUAACACGUGAGCAACCUGCCUUUUACACAGGGAUAACAGCCGGAAACGGCUGCUAAUACCGGAUAAGACCACACCGAGGCAUCUCGGAGGGGUCAAAGCGAUUUAGCGGUAAAAGAUGGGCUCGCGUCCCAUUAGCUAGUUGGUGAGAUAACAGCCCACCAAGGCGACGAUGGGUAGCCGACUUGAGAGAGUGAUCGGCCACAUUGGAACUGAGACACGGUCCAGACUCCUUCGGGAGGCAGCAGUGGGGAAUAUUGGGCAAUGGAGGAAACUCUUACCCAGCAAAUGCCGCGUGAAUGAAGAAGGCCUUCGGGUUGUAAAGUUCUUUUAUUGAUGAUAAAGCAAGUGAUAUUAGUCAAUGAAUAAGCCCCGGCUAACUAUGUGCCAGCCGCCGC
rnacentral:rRNA from 1 species